rnacentral:rRNA from 1 species
GACGAACGCUGGCGGCGUGCCUAAUACAUGCAAGUUGAGCGAUGAAGAUUGGUGCUUGCACCAAUUUGAAGAGCAGCGAACGGGUGAGUAACGCGUGGGGAAUCUGCCUUUGAGCGGGGGACAACAUUUGGAAACGAAUGCUAAUACCGCAUAACAACUUUAAACAUAAGUUUUAAGUUUGAAAGAUGCAAUUGCAUCACUCAAAGAUGAUCCCGCGUUGUAUUAGCUAGUUGGUGAGGUAAAGGCUCACCAAGGCGAUGAUACAUAGCCGACCUGAGAGGGUGAUCGGCCACAUUGGGACUGAGACACGGCCCAAACUCCUACGGGAGGCAGCAGUAGGGAAUCUUCGGCAAUGGACGAAAGUCUGACCGAGCAACGCCGCGUGAGUGAAGAAGGUUUUCGGAUCGUAAAACUCUGUUGGUAGAGAAGAACGUUGGUGAAAGUGGAAAGCUCAUCAAGUGACGGUAACUACCCAGAAAGGGACGGCUAACUACGUG